GAUGAACGCUGGCGGCGUGCCUAAUACAUGCAAGUCGAACGGUUGGUCGCAAGACCGAUAGUGGCGAACGGGUGAGUAACGCGUUGGUGACCUGCCCUAAAGCGAGGGAUAACAGUCCGAAAGGGCUGCUAAUACCGCAUAAUCUGGUGGACGGCUAGAGAGCUACCAGGAAAGCCUGACGCUUCGUAAGAAGCACAGGCGCUAAAGGAGGGGCCUGCGUCCCAUCAGCUAGUUGGUAAGGUAACGGCUUACCAAGGCGAUGACGGGUAGGGGACCUGAGAGGGUGACCCCCCACAAUGGAACUGAAACACGGUCCAUACACCUACGGGUGGCUG
rnacentral:rRNA from 1 species